rnacentral:rRNA from 1 species
AACGCUAGCUACAGGCUUAACACAUGCAAGUCGAGGGGAAACGACAUCGAAAGCUUGCUUUUGAUGGGCGUCGACCGGCGCACGGGUGAGUAACGCGUAUCCAACCUGCCCACCACUUGGGGAUAACCUUGCGAAAGUAAGACUAAUACCCAAUGAUAUCUCUAGAAGACAUCUGAAAGAGAUUAAAGAUUUAUCGGUGAUGGAUGGGGAUGCGUCUGAUUAGCUUGUUGGCGGGGUAACGGCCCACCAAGGCAACGAUCAGUAGGGGUUCUGAGAGGAAGGUCCCCCACAUUGGAACUGAGACACGGUCCAAACUCCUACGGGAGGCAGCAGUGAGGAAUAUUGGUCAAUGGACGAGAGUCUGAACCAGCCAAGUAGCGUGCAGGAUGACGGCCCUAUGGGUUGUAAACUGCUUUUAUAAGGGAAUAAAGUGAGUCUCGUGAGACUUUUUGCAUGUACCUUAUGAAUAAGGACCGGCUAAUUCCGUGCCAGCAGCCGCGGUAAUACGGAAGGUCCGGGCGUUAUCCGGAUUUAUUGGGUUUAAAGGGAGCGUAGGCCGGAGAUUAAGCGUGUUGUGAAAUGUAGAUGCUCAACAUCUGAACUGCAGCGCGAACUGGUUUCCUUGAGUACGCACAAAGUGGGCGGAAUUCGUGGUGUAGCGGUGAAAUGCUUAGAUAUCACGAAGAACUCCGAUUG